rnacentral:rRNA from 1 species
AUUGAACGCUGGCGGAAUGCUUUACACAUGCAAGUCGAACGGCAGCACGGGGCAACCUGGUGGCGAGUGGCGAACGGGUGAGUAAUACAUCGGAACGUGCCCAGUCGUGGGGGAUAACGUAGCGAAAGCUACGCUAAUACCGCAUACGAUCUACGGAUGAAAGCGGGGGACGUCGCAAGAGCCUCGCGCGAUUGGAGCGGCCGAUGGCAGAUUAGGUAGUUGGUGGGGUAAAGGCUCACCAAGCCUGCGAUCUGUAGCUGGUCUGAGAGGACGACCAGCCACACUGGAACUGAGACACGGUCCAGACUCCUACGGGAGGCAGCAGUGGGGAAUUUUGGACAAUGGGCGCAAGCCUGAUCCAGCCAUUCCGCGUGCAGGAUGAAGGCC